GUCUUAUGACUCCGAUUUAGAAAAAAUUCAGAUUUUUAUUCAAAAGUACGUUUUCUUUUUUGCAAAAAUAUUUUGGCAUUUUUCAGACUUGGAAGUUUAAAAAAAGUUCUUUCAUUACUUUUACAAGUAUGGAGUGAACCCCAUGCAGGCUUACCCUACACCACCUAACACAGUGGCGCCACUGGGCGGAGUUGAACCCGAGGCAUCUGUCUGUGAGGCGAGAGUGCUGACCACUACACCACUGGUACCGUGUCAACUGCAGCUAUUAGAAUGUCUUAUGACUCCGAUUUAGAAAAAAUUCAGAUUCUUUUCUGGGUGGAGUUGAACCCGAGACAUCUUUCUGUGAGGCGAGAGUGCUAACCACUACACCACUGUACCGUGUCAACUGCAGCUAUUAGAAUGUCUUAUGACUCCGAUUUAGAAAAAAUUCAGAUUUUUAUUCAAAAGUACGUUCUCUCACCGUCGUCCCCCUUAAUAGAAAAGAUAGAAUUUCAUGACUUUUUGCAAAAAAAAUUUGGCAUUCUUUUCAGACUUGGAAGUUUUAAAAAAGUUUUUUCCAUUACUUUUACAAGUAUGGAGUGAACCCCAUGCAGCCUUAGCCUACACCAAAGGCGCCACUGGGUGGAGUUGACGAGGCAUCUGUCUGUGAGGCGAGAGUGCUAACCACUACACCACUGUACCGUGUCAACUGCAGCUAUUAGAAUGUCUUAUGACUCCGAUUAGAAAAAAUUCAGAUUUUUAUUCAAAAGUACGUUUUCUCACCGUCAUCCCCCUUCAUAUGACUAAAGAUAGAAUUUCAUGACUUUUUGCAAAAUAUUUUGGCAUUCUUUUCAGACUUGGAAGUUUAAAAAAAAUUUUUUCCAUUACCUUUACAAGCAUGGAGUGAACCCCAUGCAGGCUUAGCCUACACCAAAGGCGCCACUGGGUGGAGUUGAACCCGAGGCAUCUGUCUUGGAGGCGAGAGUGCUAACCACUACACCACUGUACAGUGUCAACUGCUGCCAUUAGAAUGUCUUAUGACUCCGAUUUAGAAAAAAUUCAGAUUUUUAUUCAAAAGUACGUUUUCUCACCGUCGUCCCCCUUCAUAUG
ensembl:lncRNA